rnacentral:rRNA from 1 species
AUUGAACGCUGGCGGCAUGCCUUACACAUGCAAGUCGAACGGCAGCACGGGUGCUUGCACCUGGUGGCGAGUGGCGAACGGGUGAGUAAUACAUCGGAACAUGUCCUGUAGUGGGGGAUAGCCCGGCGAAAGCCGGAUUAAUACCGCAUACGAUCUACGGAUGAAAGCGGGGGACCUUCGGGCCUCGCGCUAUAGGGUUGGCCGAUGGCUGAUUAGCUAGUUGGUGGGGUAAAGGCCUACCAAGGCGACGAUCAGUAGCUGGUCUGAGAGGACGACCAGCAAACUGGGGACGGAGAAACGGCCAAGACCCCUAGGGGGGGCAGCAGGGGGAAAUUUUGGAAAAGGGGGGAAAGCCUGAUCCAGCAAGGCCGGGGGGGUGAAGAAGGCCUUCGGGUUGUAAAGCCUUUUUGUCCGGAAAAAAAUCCUUGGCCCUAAGACGGUCGGGGGAUGACGGUACCGGAAAAAAAAGCACCGGCUAACUACGU